AACCCCUCGCAUUCAGUUGCCAUCGGUGAGCCGGGCACUCUGGAUGGACUGCCGGCGACAAGCCGGAGGAAGGUGGGGAUGACGUCAAGUCAUCAUGGGCCCUUAUGUCCAGGGCGACACACGUGCUACAAUGGCCGGCACAGCGGGAAGCGAAGGGGCGACUCUGAGCGGAUCCCUUAAAGCCGGUCCCAGUUCGGAUUGCAGUCUGCAACUCGACUGCAUGAAGUUGGAAUCGCUAGUAAUCGUGGAUCAGCCAAGCCGCGGUGAAUACGUUCCCGGGCCUU
rnacentral:rRNA from 1 species